GAUGAACGCUGGCGGCGUGCCUAACACAUGCAAGUCGAACGAAGCGUCUUAAAGGUAAGUUUUCGGAUGGUAAGUUUGGGAUGACUGAGUGGCGGACGGGUGAGUAACGCGUGGAUAACCUGCCUCAUACAGGGGGAUAACAGCUAGAAAUGGCUGCUAAUACCGCAUAAGCGCACAGUGCCGCAUGGCAGUGUGUGAAAAACUCCGGUGGUAUGAGAUGGAUCCGCGUCUGAUUAGCUAGUUGGCGGGGUAACGGCCCACCAAGGCGACGAUCAGUAGCCGGACUGAGAGGUUGAACGGCCACAUUGGAACUGAGACACGGUCCAA
rnacentral:rRNA from 1 species